rnacentral:rRNA from 1 species
AUUGAACGCUGGCGGCAUGCUUUACACAUGCAAGUCGAACGGUAACAGGCCGCAAGGUGCUGACGAGUGGCGAACGGGUGAGUAAUGCAUCGGAACGUGCCCAGUCGUGGGGGAUAACGCAGCGAAAGCUGCGCUAAUACCGCAUACGAUCUAUGGAUGAAAGCGGGGGACCGUAAGGCCUCGCGCGAUUGGAGCGGCCGAUGUCAGAUUAGGUAGUUGGUGGGGUAAAGGCUCACCAAGCCAACGAUCUGUAGCUUGUCUGAGAGGACGACCAGCCACACUGGGACUGAGACACGGCCCAGACUCCUACGGGAGGCAGCAGUGGGGAAUUUUGGACAAGGGGCGCAAGCCUGAUCCAGCAAUGCCGCGUGCAGGAAGAAGGCCUUCGGGUUGUAAACUGCUUUUGUACGGAACGAAACGGCUCUCACUAAUACUGGGGGCUAAUGACGGUACCGUAAGAAUAAGCACCGGCUAACUACGUGCCAGCCGCCGCCGUAACAC